UCGGGAAUUUUGGGCAAUGGGGGAAACCCUGACCCAGCAACGCCGCGUGAAGGAUGAAGUAUUUCGGUAUGUAAACUUCGAAAGAAUAGGAAGAAUAAAUGACGGUACUAUUUAUAAGGUCCGGCUAACUACGUGCCAGCAGCCGCGGUAAUACGUAGGGACCAAGCGUUGUUCGGAUUUACUGGGCGUAAAGGGCGCGUAGGCGGCAUGACAAGUCACUUGUGAAAUCUCUGGGCUUAACCCAGAACGGCCAAGUGAUACUGUCGCGCUAGAGUGCAGAAGGGGCAAUCGGAAUUCUCGGUGUAGCGGUGAAAUGCGUAGAUAUCAAGAGGAACACCUGAGGUGAAGACGGGUUGCUGGGCUGACACUGACGCUGAGGCGCGAAAGCCAGGGGAGCAAACGGGAUUAGAUACCCCCGUAGUCCCUGAGCGGGCUGGCAAGGCGCAU
rnacentral:rRNA from 1 species